AGAAAUGGAGUAUGCUCCUCCAAUCCUGUCCCUGAAUGCUAAGUUCCCGGGGAACUCCCAUGAUGCCCAUGUCAUUAGACAAUCAGGGAUAUGGCACAGAUUAAGAUCGAUGGAAAGACAAGACAUGUGGUUAUUGGGAGACCGUGGAUAUCCUUGCACCCCCUGGCUCAUGACUCCUUACAGUAAGCCCAGGCCAGGACCACAGACGGCAUUUAACUCCGCGCUUACUGCCACUAGACAGCUGGUGGAGCGCACGAUUGGUGUCCUUAAAGGACGCUUUCGUGUGC